GGGGAAGGAAGGGAAGGAUUGAGGUGGGAAAAGAGAGAGAAAGAUGAUUGUCCUCUUAGGGGAAGACCACACUGGACAUCGGCUCCUGGGGCACUUCCUUGAUUCCGCUGUACUCAGCGGGACGGGAGAGGCGGAGGUUCCAGGAGGGAGCCUUCCAGAGUCGGUGCAGGGUUGACAGGAGACGUUUGUUUUGCUUUUCCUGAACUUUCGAUCGCCAGCUUAUUUGGUCUUCUUGAUGUUAUAGGGUUGAUAGAGACAGGAGUGGAGUGAUAUCGGACACCGAGCUUCAGCAAGCUCUCUCCAAUGGGAAACCCCCAUCAGCACCUCCCCCUGACUCACAAAGCAUCCCGUCAACAUCACAAUCCCGACUUUCCCACGCGGACAAGCCCACGGGACCCCCUGAUGGACCAGGACAGCACCAGCACUAAGACAUGCCCUGAAACUCACAGGAAGACCUGAUCAAGAAGACGGGAACAGCACAGGGCACUGGGAGCUGCAAACGCCCACAAUACUGUCAGAGAUGGAAAAAGGCACGUGGACUCCCUUUAAUCCAGUGACUGUCAGGUCGAUCAUAUGUAAGUAUCGGCAGACGGACCAGCCUGGGCUGCUUUGUAUCCGACCCGCUUGGGUACCCGCUUGUGUUUCCUUUGUCUGUGGGUCCGUAUCACUUUGCUCCCUUCUGGAAUUCCACUUAGAUGAGCGUCGGCCCUUUCAUCCCUCUCCCCCCGUCUCUGUACCUUUUCACGUCUCUCUGUGUAUGUUUGCUCUAUUCUUGAUUCUGUUUAUUUUUAAUGUACGGUGU
rnacentral:lncRNA from 1 species